AGCUCCGCCAGUGUAUAUCUAUGCUGCUGCGGUUAAAAAGCUCGUAGUUGGAUCUGCGUGCUUGGUGGUGGUCCGUCCUUUGGGCGUGCACUGCUCACCGGCACUGAGCUGCUAGUUCUUCCAUGUGUGCCCUUCACCGGGUGUCUUGGAUGGCUAGCGAAUUUACUUUGAAAAAAUUAGAGUGCUCAAAACAGGCGUUUCGCUUGAAUACUGGUGCAUGGAAUAAUGGAAUAGGACCUUGGUUCUAUUUUGUUGGUUUUCGGAACACGAGGUAAUGAUUAAGAGGGACAGACGGGGGCAUUCGUAUUGCGACGCUAGAGGUGAAAUUCUUGGAUCGUCGCACGACGGACUACUGCGAAGGCAUUUGCCAAGAAUGUUUUCAUUAAUCAAGAACGAAAGU
rnacentral:rRNA from 1 species